rnacentral:rRNA from 2 species
UGCAGUCGAACGAUGAUGCCCAGCUUGCUGGGCGGAUUAGUGGCGAACGGGUGAGUAAUACGUGAGUAACCUGCCCUUGACUCUGGGAUAAGCCUGGGAAACUGGGUCUAAUACUGGAUACUACCUCUUACCGCAUGGUGGGUGGUGGAAAGGGUUUUACUGGUUUUGGAUGGGCUCACGGCCUAUCAGCUUGUUGGUGGGGUAAUGGCUCACCAAGGCGACGACGGGUAGCCGGCCUGAGAGGGUGACCGGCCACACUGGGACUGAGACACGGCCCAGACUCCUACGGGAGGCAGCAGUGGGGAAUAUUGCACAAUGGGCGGAAGCCUGAUGCAGCGACGCCGCGUGAGGGAUGACGGCCUUCGGGUUGUAAACCUCUUUCAGUAGGGAAGAAGCGAGAGUGACGGUACCUGCAGAAGAAGCGCCGGCUAACUACGUGCCAGCAGCCGCGGUAAUACGUAGGGCGCAAGCGUUGUCCGGAAUUAUUGGGCGUAAAGAGCUCGUAGGCGGUUUGUCGCGUCUGCUGUGAAAGCCCGGGGCUCAACCCCGGGUCUGCAGUGGGUACGGGCAGACUAGAGUGCAGUAGGGGAGACUGGAAUUCCUGGUGUAGCGGUGAAAUGCGCAGAUAUCAGGAGGAACACCGAUGGCGAAGGCAGGUCUCUGGGCUGUUACUGACGCUGAGGAGCGAAAGCAUGGGGAGCGAACAGGAUUAGAUACCCUGGUAGUCCAUGCCGUAAACGUUGGGCACUAGGUGUG